rnacentral:rRNA from 1 species
CCUACGGGGGGCAGCAGUGAGGAAUAUUGGUCAAUGGGCGCGAGCCUGAACCAGCCAAGUCGCGUGAGGGAAGAAGGUCCUAUGGAUUGUAAACCUCUUUUGCCGGGGAGCAAAAGACGCCACGCGUGGCGUUCCGAGAGUACCCGAAGAAAAAGCAUCGGCCAACGCCGUGCCAGCAGCCGCGGUAUUACGGAGGAUGCGAGCGUUAUCCGGAUGUAUUGGGUUAAAAGGGUGCGCAGGCGGAAGAUCAAGUCAGCGGUAAAAUUGAGGGGCUCAACCUCGGCGAGCCGUUGAAACUGGGGUUCUUGAGUGAGUGAGAAGUAGGCGGAAUUCGUGGUGUAGCGGUGAAAUGCAUAGAUAUCACGCAGAACUCCGAUUGCGAAGGCAGCAUACCGGCGCUCAACUGACGCUCAUGCACGAAAGUGUGGGUAUCGAACAGGAUUAGAUACCCUGGUAGUC